AAUGUAUUUGAGUUUGGUCGAAAUUAAAAAUCAUGCUCGUACCUGACCGGUUGUCUAGAAAUGGAAAGCAUCCUAAACGUUUCAUUGAAUUGUAAAAUCUAUUAAAGAAG